GUAGGUGAACCUGCGGAAGGAUCAUUAUCGUGGGGCUUCGGCCCUAUCGAGAUAGAACCCUUGCCUUUAUAGUACCUUCUGUUGCCUCGGCGCCUGCUUCACGGCGGCGCCAACGAGGCCAACCAAAAACUCUUUUUAUUACCUGUACCAGUCUGAAAAACAAACAAAAGUUAAAACUUUCAACAACGGAUCUCUUGGUUCUG
rnacentral:misc_RNA from 1 species